UCUGGCGCUUACGUUUCAGCUACGGAAUUAGUGACAAAUUUUUUGUCGUCGACUUAAUUUAAAAGUAAUGACGGAUUUAGAGACGUAUAAUCCGUUGCUAAUCACAACUAAAUUAUGAAAAUAUUUUAAUAAUACUUGCUAGUAGUUUUAAAAAGAAUUUAAAGAUACUUUUGUUACAUUUAACCCAGCUUUAUUUUCUUUCAUAAUAAGCCCGCCCGCCUCUGUAUAUCUUUCUUUUUGCAAUGGUGAAUCUAGGGUUUCAUCUCGCAUCUCCCCUCUAUGUUGCGUCGACUGAGACCUCAAUUAUCGCUUUUCCAUUGUAUCUUGGAGCAGAGCAAGGAAUAGUUUUAUCUUUUGGGACUCUCAUAAGUUCACAAGCACGGUAAUUUCUCUAGUUUCAUACGCCAGCUUAACACAUAUGUAAGUAUCUUUUUUACUUCUAACCCAUAUCUAAUUUUGGUAUCCCUUUCUAGAUUAUGAAUAUUUUCUUUGUGUUAGAUUCAGUGUUUGAUCAGUUAGGGUUUCUAAAUAUCUCAUUUCAGACUUUUAGGUAUAAUAUUGUGCAUUAUAUUAAGAGUGAUGUCUUGGUGGUUAUCAAUUUUGUGGGAAGUUUGAAUAGAAAAUUAUGUUUCAAGAAGAUUUGUUCUGCUGAAUUGGGAUCUCUUAUGUAGAUUGGAAAGUAAUAGUUGGAGUGACUAGCUCUUUGCUUUUAUCUCGUGGUUCCAUAAUGUAAUAAAAAAAUUGGUAUCUUAAAAAAUACUAACUUUGUGAUCCUUAAAAUGUACAUGAUUACUGUUUCUUGUCAGUUGAAAUGGUUGAAUUUUUCCAAUUGAUUAAGGGCCCUAAAAUAUGGAUUUUUAGCUCCACCUAUGAUUGGUCAAUGUGACUUGUAAUUUUUUUGUUGUCGGUUAUAGAAUACUAAAAAGGUUUCUUAUUGGUCAAUGUGACUUGUAAUUUUUUUGUUGUCGGUUAUAGAAUACUAAAAAGGUUUCUUAUUGGUCAAUGUGACUUGUAAAUUUUUUGUUGUCUGUUAUAGAAUACUCAAAAGGUUUCUUAACUGGGAAAGAUAUGGCUGAACCUCAACUUUAAUGGUUUUAAACUCUAAGUACUCUAUGGUUUUGAAAUCCAUAGAGAACAAUGGUAUUAUCUCCUUCAGCUUCAAAGAUCUGAUUUACUUCACACUUCUUGUUCAUGUCAAUAUUGAAGUUUCAAGAAUUUCCUUUCUUGAGGUCUGUUAUAGGUGAACAAGUUGCUCAGUAUGAAUUUGUUCCUAAAUUCUCAAUGUCUAAUAUUGUGACUAUUUUUUAAUUUUUGUGUUUGAACUAGAUCUACAACUAUUACUUUACGUGAAUUUAUAUUUGUUGUAUAGGUAUAUUUCUGUGCGUGUUUGACAAACAUGCAAUUUUAUAAUCUUUUGAAUGUUUUGCUAGUACUUCAUAGAGUCGUAUUAUCUAUCAUCUAUGGAAGCUAAUGGAUUACUGCAAUUUGGAUAUUGCUGUCCAAAGAUGACAUCACUCAAUGUAAAUUUAUUUCUAUUGUAUAGGUAUGUUUCUGUGGUGUUUUCCAAAUAUGCAAUUUUAUAAUCUUUUGAAUAUUUUGCUAGUACUUCAUAGAGUCGUAUUAUCUAUCAUCUCUGGAAGCUAAAGGAAUCUGAAAUAAAAGGUGUGAUGGACUACUGAAGUGUGGAUGUUGCUGUGGGAUCUUCCUAGAGUUUGAAAACACCCCUUAGGUGCUAGCAAACCAUGCAAGGAUGUGUAGGCAAGUCCCUUGAAGACUCUGAUCCAAUAAUGCGAUACUAGUAUUGGGAAAACUGGUAACUUAGGCUUGCUGAAUGACAGACUCACUGCACUACCCAAAAGAGGAUUUUUCUCCUACAUUCUUCUAAGUGUUUGCUUCUCAAGGAGUAUACUAGUUGUGGGAAAAUUGCAAUUUGUUUUUUCAUAUUGAAAUGUUAAUUUGCUAGUUUGAAAAGAAUUGAUUAAUUCUUGGUGUAGUAUUUUAGCUGGACCUGGUAACUCUCUAGCCCUUCAUUAGUUAGGCUUUUCAAUUUUGACUUUAAUGGUUUUGUUGUGGAUAUUCGAUUUGACUAUAUAAUUAUUAUAUUCAUUGACCUUGUAAAUAUUAGUUUAUAUGAAUUUCAAUUAUUUUUAAGUGUA